UUCCAGACUCCUACGGGAGGCAGCAGUGAGGAAUAUUGGUCAAUGGGCUUACGCCUGAACCAGCCAAGUCGCGUGAGGGAAGACUGCCCUAUGGGUUGUAAACCUCUUUUGCCGGGGAGCAAGCGUGCGUUCGUGAACGCACGUCGAGAGUACCCGGAGAAAAAGCAUCGGCUAACUCCGUGCCAGCAGCCGCGGUAAUACGGAGGAUGCGAGCGUUAUCCGGAUUUAUUGGGUUUAAAGGGUGCGUAGGCGGGAUGCCAAGUCAGCGGUAAAAUGCGGUGCUCAACGCCGUCGAGCCGUUGAAACUGGCGUUCUUGAGUGGGCGAGAAGUAUGCGGAAUGCGUGGUGUAGCGGUGAAAUGCAUAGAUAUCACGCAGAACUCCGAUUGCGAAGGCAGCAUACCGGCGCCCUACUGACGCUGAGGCACGAAAGCGUGGGUAUCGAACAGGAUUAGAUACCCCCGUACG
rnacentral:rRNA from 1 species